CUGGUACAUUGCUGUCUUCACUGGAGUGCUGCAAGCUCGAAGUGUGAUCCUGAGUAGCUGUUAUUCAAUACCAUAUGCUCUUAAGGACAACGCCCUGAUGUCCAAGGUCAAUCAGCAAGAAGCUGAGAAGGCAGUGUCAAAAUGGUUCACUGGGGCAAGGGACAGAGGAGGACAGAGAGCAUCAAGAACGCAAAAAAGGAUGUCUGUUUGAGAAAGGUUAUAACUACAGUUGCUGAUUUGAACUGUCAUAGUUCUUUUAUUUUUCUUAAAGGAAAACCUUUUUCAAUAUUUUACCAUGUUCUUCCCUCAACUUAGAUGAAUUAAUACAUAACUCUAUUUUCUCAAUGCGUGCACUUAAAGGUGGGGUGCACAAUUUCUGAAAAAAAAAAAGUUUUGGAAAAGGAAGUCGGGCAGACUACCAAAACACACUUGUAGCCAAUCAGUAGCAUGUCUACUAACUGACAUCGUUUCCUGCCUUGCGUAUUUGUGGGGCAGGUCUAUCAAAAGAAGGUCCAGAUUCUAUUAUGGUAAGGGUGUGUUUGUUUAGAUGAUUUCAAAAUGUAAACAUUAGUGAUGCAACAAUACACUUAGUUCACGGUUCAAUACAAUUUUCGGUUCUUGUCCACGGUUUUCGGUUCGGUAUCGGUCCUGAUGCCUUGACCUAUUAAAGUGUUUUUUAAUUACCGGUAUUCUAUGCUUGGGUAACAGGAACAGUGAGAUGUUAAGAAGCAAAAAUACUGGUUUUAAUUGCAGUUCUCUUUAUUUUAUGUAGAUGCAACAUGAUCUUACACAUUUCUAGUGUAUUGAUACAGUAAUAUAAGAUAUAAUUAAAUAAAGAUAUAUAAAAAUUAUAUCCUAUUCAAACUGGGGAACAUGUGAAUUCAUUACAUUACAUAAAUUGGCCAUUUUAUAUACCUGUACUUAGUAAAUUAAACUUUACAUUGUAAAUGAAGGAUAUACCUUACCGCACUACUGUUCAAUACAACAUCAUGUUGUCUAUGUAGAAACCAAAAAUGCGUUCCUCAAUCAAGAUUACUUGUGGGAUUUAUUUUAGCAUCAGGCGCAUUCUCUUCUUGAGUUGAACUUUUUGAGGACGGAAGACGUGUUUGAGGCAAAUAACGCGCGUUUGCGUUUGCAUUUGCAUCUUUACAUUGAUGUUGUAUGUAAUCUACACGCGCAAGUAAUUAAUCC